CCUGACUGCUAUCGGAUUGAUACUAAGCCAUGCGAGUCAUUGUAGCAAUACAAGGCAGACGGCUCAGUAACGCGUAGUCAACCUACCCUAUGGACGGGGAUAACCUCGGGAAACUGAGAAUAAUACCCGAUAGAACAUUAUACCUGGAAUGGUUUAUGUUUCAAAUAAUUUAUUGCCGUAGGAUGGGACUGCGGCCUAUCAGUUUGUUGGUGAGGUAAUGGCCCACCAAGACUAUUACAGGUACGGGCUCUGAGAGGAGUAGCCCGGAGAUGGGUACUGAGACACGGACCCAGGCCCUAUGGGGCGCAGCAGGCGAGAAAACUUUGCAAUGUGCGAAAGCACGACAAGGUUAAUCCGAGUGGUUUCUGCUAAAGGAACCUUUUGUCAGUCCUAGAAACACUGGUGAAUAAGGGGUGGGCAAGUUCUGGUGUCAGCCGCCGCGGUAAAACCAGCACCUCAAGUGGUCAGGAUGAUUAUUGGGCCUAAAGCAUCCGUAGCCUGCUUUGUUAGUUUUCGGUUAAAUCCAUACGCUUAACGUAUGGGCUGCCGGGAAUACUGCAAAGCUAGGGAGUGGGAGAGGUAGACGGUACUCGGUAGGAAGGGGUAAAA
rnacentral:rRNA from 1 species